rnacentral:rRNA from 1 species
UACAGAGGUCUCAAGCGUUGUUCGGAUUCAUUGGGCGUAAAGGGUGUGUAGGUGGCGCGCUAAGUCGGGUGUGAAAUUUCGGAGCUUAACUCCGAAACUGCAUUCGAUACUGGCGUGCUUGAGGACUGGAGAGGAGACUGGAAUUCAUGGUGUAGCAGUGAAAUGCGUAGAGAUCAUGAGGAAGACCAGUGGCGAAGGCGGGUUUCUGGACAGUUCCUGACACUGAGACACGAAGGCCAGGGGAGCAAACGGG